rnacentral:misc_RNA from 1 species
AACGCACAUUGCGCCCGCUAGCAAUCUAGCAGGCAUGCCUGUUCGAGCGUCAUUUCAACCCUCAAGCGCUGCUUGCUUGGUGUUGGGGUUCUUCUGUGGCGGUUUGUACUGCCGCAGGCCCUGAAAUUUAGUGGCGGACUCGCUGGAGCUCCGAGCGUAGUAGUUUAUCUUUCUCGCUUAGGACGUUUUAGUGAGCACUAGCCGUUAAACCCCUUAUUUUACAGAAGGUUGACCUCGGAUCAGGUAGGAUUACCCGCUGAACUUAA